GACUCGGUGGUGUAAUGGCUAACAUACCAGCUGUUACUGUGAUAUAGUCAUUAUGGUAGGCUGAAGCUUCCCGUUCGACUCGGGGCUGGGUCA